AGAAAGUCCUCAAAAGCAACAAGAAUUUGGAGAUUUUUGGCUUUACAGAAACAGAAUCACAUGCACAGUUUGAUAUAUUCUUAGGGAAAGAAAGAAUACGAAUAGAAGAGGUAAUAACAAUAAUACCCAGUCGUAUUAUCGCUUUGGCUUCGCGCCUUUGCUACUUCAACUCUUCACUCUUGACCACACACGCUUACGCUCUCUCCUUUCAAAACGACUUGGUCUUUGGUCCUCCUCUCACUCUCCUUUCUCUGUCUAGCUUCCUUCUCUGCAAACCGCGUUUCUUUCUUUUCUAAAUUCUCACCCCCUUAAAAAUCCCCUCAAAACAGCCAUCAUCUACCACCACCGCCCCCCACCAUGAUAUUAUCAAUUCUUGCUACCCAUUUCUAUGGCUUUUCUUUUUCUUCGUACUAUUCUUUCUCUUCUACUCUUUUUGUCUUCUUUUCCUUCUAUUCUUUCACUCUCUACUGUUGCUAUUUCUGAAACUUCCAACCAUACAUUGAUUUGUGCUUUGGGGAGAACUAGUAGUCGUCAAACUUUUCUUAAUUGUUCUAGUUUUCCUGCUGGGAUUCAGAUUCCUGUAUUGAAUAAUUCAAGCUUUUCUUAUUCCGGGAUUGUUGCUGGAGAUGGGUUUGUCAGCGCUUUAAUGUCUUUGUCUUCCUCUUCCAAUUCAACUAUCGUUUCCUGGAGAUUCUCUAGUAAUGGUAGUAUUACGGGUUAUAAGAGAAUCUAUGAAGGUCCUGCUUUCAGAGUGCUUGAAGCUGGUAAUUCCCUUACAUGUGGUAUUGUUGAUGCCACCAAUCGCCUAGAGUGCUGGCCAAGGCGGAAAUUCCAGUCUAUCUCUGCUCAUGCUCAGAGUUUGAGCUUUUCCAGUAUUGCAGUAGGUGAAGACUUCGUUUGUGGAUUAUUAAGAUUUGGUAAUAUUACUUGCUUCGGAAACAAUCCUCCUGUCAAUGGCUCUCACGAAGGGAAUUUUAGCAUGAUUGCUGCCGGCUUCAGGCAUGCCUGUGCUCUAACUUUUGAUAACGAAUUGCAUUGUUGGGGAACUAUGGAGGGCCAAAAACCACAACAUAAGUUCAAAUUGUUGGCAUUAGGAGAGAACCGUAGCUGUGGUUUGCGGCUUAAUGAUAGAGUAGUUUGUUGGGGGCAGAACAAUUUCAGCUUGCAAGAAAGUUUGAAAGAUAGUUAUUUUGUCAAUAUUGAAGCUAAGAGGAACAUUUUCUGUGGAGUUCGGAAAGAGAAUUAUUCCCUGGUUUGUUGGGGUAAUGAGAUAUUGGACUCUAACUUAACGGUGUUUGAUGAAGUAAUCCCAGGACCAUGUACAAAUAGCUGUCAAAAUACACAUGCUAUGUUAGCAGGAUCAGGCAAGUUUUGCCCCCAAGGAUUUUUUAUUUGUCAUGAUAAUACUAAUACCAUUACUCCACCGCCACCAACCGUGCCACCACCACCGGCUCCACCAUUAGCACCAUGUUGGCCGCCAUCGACGCCUCCAGGGGGAUCAACAAGUAGUGAAUGGAGUAACAAGAUGAUAGCUUUCCUAGUAGUGGGCUGUGUGGGAUCCACUGUUUUGUUGCUAGCCGCUGGCUUCUUUGUCCUCAGAUACUGCAAGUGCAGAGGAUGUCGAGUCCAUGAUUCAGGGCGGUUGGAUGAGACCGGAGCACCCCUCGAACAGGGUACAGGACAACAACAGCAGCAACACCCACAAAUCGAACAAGCACCACCACCACCUGUUCUGGAGAAGCGUCUUAGCCAAUUGGCCAGCAUGGGAAAUGCAGGUCAUUUAGAAGAAUUCCCAUUGCAACUGCUACUUCAAGCCACGAACAACUUCUCCGAGGAUCACAAAGUUGGAGAAGGAAGCUUCGGCUCAGUCUAUCGCUCCACAUUAGGCGAUGGACGAGAAGUAGCAAUCAAACGAGCAGAAACAUCAAGCACUAGUUCCUACGCAAUAGGAACCAGGCGUCAAGAAGACAAAGACAAUGCAUUCAUUAACGAACUCGAAUCCUUAUCCCGUCUUCAUCACAAGAAUCUCAUCCGAUUACUAGGCUUCUGCGAAGAUUGUAACGAAAGGGUAUUAGUCUACGAGUACCUAAGCAAUGGCACCCUCCAUGAUCAUCUCCACAAGCUCCAAAGCUCACCAUUAAUGUCAUGGACUGCAAGAAUCAAAGUAGCACUAGACGCAGCCAGGGGAAUCGAGUACCUGCACGAGUACGCAGUACCACCAGUCAUUCACCGAGACAUAAAAUCAUCUAACAUACUUCUGGACUCAUCCUGGAACGCCAAGGUCUCAGAUUUCGGACUAUCGCUGAUGGGUCCUGAUGACGAAGAAUCCCACCUGUCCCUUCGAGCAGCAGGCACAGUAGGAUACAUGGACCCAGAGUACUACAGGCUGCAACAGCUGACCACAAAGAGCGACGUGUACAGCUUCGGAAUAGUGUUGCUAGAGCUAUUAUCAGGAAUCAAAGCAAUACACAAGAACGAGAAUGGAACGCCAAGAAAUGUGGUGGAUUUUGUAGUACCAUUCAUUGUACAUGAUGAAAUACACAGAGCCUUGGACUCGAGAGUUCCACCGCCAACGCCGUUUGAAAUAGAGGCUGUGGCGUAUGUAGGAUAUUUGGCGGCAGAUUGCGUGACGCUAGAUGGCCGAGAUCGGCCGCCGAUGACCGAAAUUGUAAAUAGCUUGGAAAGAGCAUUGGCUGCGUGUUUGGUGCACCCCACCUCGCUUUCGCGGUCCACGACCGGGUCCUCCACAUAGCCCCAAGUGGGAGAAAGCACCAGCGCACACGUGCCAGGAACUAGUCUAAUUUUUUUGUAUAAACCAUUUUUUUUUUUUAAAAUUUCCUCGAGAAAAUCCGAGU
rnacentral:misc_RNA from 1 species